rnacentral:rRNA from 1 species
GAUGAACGCUAGCGACAGGCUUAACACAUGCAAGUCGAGGGGCAUCGGGACGUAGCAAUACGUUGCCGGCGACCGGCGGAUGGGUGAGUAACGCGUAUGCAACCUGCCCACGACAGGGGGAUAGCCCGUUGAAAGACGGAUUAAUACCCCAUAAAACAGGGGUUCCGCAUGGGACUAUUUGUUAAAGGGUUUUCCGCGAGGGGAUCCGGUUGUGGAUGGGCAUGCGUUCCAUUAGGCAGUUGGUGGGGUAACGGCUCACCAAACCGACGAUGGAUAGGGGAACCGGGAGGUUGGUCCCCCACACUGGUACUGAGAUACGGACCAGACUCCUACGGGAGGCAGCAGUGAGGAAUUUGGUCAAUGGACGGAAGUCUGAACCAGCCAAGUCGCGUGAAGGAAGGCGGCCCUAAGGGUUGUAAACUUCUUUUGUAAGGGAAUAAAGGCCGGUACGCGUUACCGGUUUGCAGGUACCUUACGAAUAAGGAUCGGCUAACUCCGUG